AAGGCGGGUGUGAACCAAGGCUGGCCCUCGCGGGUGGGUGCCCACUGGGAGCAGGACAUGCUGCAGGAUGAGGUCUCCUGUGGGAUGGAGGAGGAGGAACAGCAGGAGUCCUGUGGCUGGGGCCAGAUCCGGCCUGGCCACGCCAACAGCCCCAAGAGGACAGUAGUUGUGCAGGUGUCGUUUGAACACUAACAGAUCGCGGCAAGGAGGACGGACGGACGGACAGCGUGGUGGUUCCACACUUUGGCGACUGGCAGGCUACAUUUUACAGAUGGGUUUGGAGAUCAUGACACCCUGACCCCUAAGGCAGGAUGAAUUUUGCCACUGUUUUGAAGUGAAACCUGAAAUGUGCCCUUCCGUGCAAGCCAUGUCCCUGGAGGAAACGCGACGGCAGCAUUAAACCAGCGUGAUGAGGCAGCAGAGGCCGCAGGAGGCAGAUUGUGAUUGUUCCGACUGGGGAACGUGCUAUUAAAAACAUCCCCCUGUGACACCGUGCUCAGAAACACCUCUGGAGCCAGACACAGCUGCUGCAUCUCCACAUUCGACGUCUCGGCUGCAUCGCAGGCACUUCCAAACGCCAGAAGAGAUAAGACAACAUUGGAGCUGGCAAUUUUUGAAAGAUUUUUUUUCUGCUUUUUAAGACUAAAGCCAUUUCUGAGCCCCCGGUGCCAGACAGAGAGACCAAAGUUUGUGGAAAAGCAAACAUAUGAAACAAAAAUUUAGUCCUGAUGUGCACCUGGUGUGCCGUUCCUUGAAAAAAUGCCAAAUCAAGGGCCAGACUGACACUGUUUUAAGACAUAACUUGCCAGACUAUGGAUAUUUUGGAAGGGAGUCACUUGACACGGAAGGAGACCAUCGGCAUCACCCAGCACUUGGGACUGAGCCGGCACCGACCCGAAGCCAGCUGUAACUGGACCUUGCGCUCCAGAGCUCAGGAAUCUUGUUCCCUUUCUAAGGCCACAGAUGGAAAAUGAGGAAAUGGGGUCAAAAAAGGGCCUGUCAAAGCAGAGGGAGGAGCAACUGCGUUUUCAUGAAUCAUAAACGCUCCCAGCUUCUCAGAUUCACAUUUUUCAAGCGUUCAGCCUCAAAAGAAAGGAGUUCCCAGGCAGCAAGGGCACAGGGUCAGUGCAGAGAACCCAGGGAAGGGAAAACAUGGGAUAAAUCCCUGACCUCCCAGCCCUGCCAUGGGAGAGGAUGCUGGUGAGACAAGCCGUGGAAGAGGAAGCACAACCAUCAGGGCAAAGUUUGUGGGAAAAGCUGUUGUCGGGCAUCCCAGCAGCCGUGGAGGGUCGCUGCCGCCAGCAGGGAAGGGCAGCGACACGAUUUUCUUGCAUUUUCCAGCAGCACCAAGCGGCGGCUUGAGAUUUUUCUGACCGAAAAAUAUGACGGUGCGUUUGAGACGCGGGUGAGCUCCCAGGGACUGUGUUCCUGAGAGGGACCCGCUCGGCCCCCCUCAAAAAUCCCUCAGGUCUCCCGGUGGCCGCCGGACGGCCCCGCCACCACUGUCCCUGGGAGCAUUUCAGUGCUGGAGUCCAAAGUAAACGAACGUGAUUUAUGCAUCGACAUCCCCGGCAGCAGCAGACCGUGUCCGCUAGGAGCGGCUUCCCACGCUGCUGCUUUUCCGACUCAGCUGCUCUCCGGGAAGUGCGGGAGAAACCGCGCUGGCCCCUCCUGGCGUUCGCUCCGGUUUUACAGUAUCGUUUCCUAAAAGGCUCGUAAUCAGCUGGGAGAGAUGUCGAGAAAUAAUUAAGCCAAGCAGCAAAUUGAGUGCCAAACACCGUAAUUCCUUGGCACAAGCCCCUGCUCCAGCUAUAAUUAGCAUUUCCUGGCAAUGCUGUUAAUUAAACCAGGGCCGUGUCCGCGUGACAUGUUUCCAGGGCCGCUGACCACAGAGCCAACUUGCCGUUGAAUUUCCAGGGGACCUGGAUUAAUUUCCCGGGACCGGGGGCUCUCCCUGAAUCUGAGCGCGGGAACAGCCCACACGAACCUCCAUGGUGCGAGGCAGCUGGAGCCCUGGGAGCAAGACGACGCUGUAAAAACUUCGCAUAACCCUGCAAACUGCCCCGGUUCUGGCCGCCUCUGAUAAAUUAAUUUCUCCACACUCUUUUUUCCGCCCCCGGGAUAACGGCAGGUGCCAUCGCAGUUAACAGCGGUAGGAGCCGCUGCCUCCAGUUCGACGCUGUUAAAAUCACCUGCGUCUCAACGGGGACGUCUCCUGGGGACGAGCUGGCACCGUGGGCGGAACACCCUGACGGCGCCAGGUCCUUUUCUCAAAAAUAACAGAAAAUAACAAAUAGAAAAGGUCUCCAGGGGCAGAUUCAGGUUUACGGAGAUGCAGAGGUUUGCGCCGAGGCCCUUUUGCGCUGCUGGGGACACGGUGGGACAGCCCUCACCCCGCGAGCCCUGUGCGGGCACCGGGAAUUUUCUGCGGAGAUGGAAGUUUUUGGGGCUGUGCAGCCCGUCUCGCCUCAACGCCUGGAACCGCAGCCCUUUCCCACAGAUUUUGGACCUUAGAGAUGCUCCAGCAAGCGGCAUGAAAACAAGCGGCCGGCAGCAGAGGGAGAUCCACGCCGGACCGUUUCCCCGGCAAGGAUGUACCCCGAUGCUGGAUAUAAAACAUCCCCCUCCGUAAGGGAUUAACACACGGAUAACAGCGCGCCUUGGGGCAUCUGCCACCUUUAUUGAGCUGUGCCGCAGCCACGACCGCUCCCCGCCCGAGCGUCACUUGGCUGCUGCCUCAUCCCGCCGUGCGUCCGCGGUCGGCGGCGCCGCGUCACCGGCCCGAGGCGCCCGGCGGCGGCAGCUCUUUCUCCGCUCGCUCGAUUUGCUCCUCCGUCAGCACCACGGGCUUGUACUUCUCCUCGAAGAGCUUCUCGUUGGCCUCGGAGUGGAGGUGGUGGAAGGAGACGGCGCGGAGGUGCUCGGGGAGGAACCUGAACUCCUCCUCGUUGAUGUCGCAGUCCCUCAUCUUGGCGUGCAGAACCCACCAGCGGCCGCAGAAGCCCACGUCGAGGACGCGGCCCGGGAGCUCGCGCCAGCGGGGCUGCAGGUAGCGGCACCGCGCCGCGUAGAGCCCGGCCUGGGCGUCGAACGGCGCCUCGUACACCACGGCGAGGAGCACGAGGUCGCGGUAGCGCAGCCGCCCGCCGUCCCGCAGCCGCAGCAGGUGCUGCACGUGCCCCUCGGCGACGCCGCUGCGGGUCCGGGGCGAGAGCAGCAGCAGGGAGCCGGCGGCCUCCAGCAGAGCCGCCUCGAAGGUGCCGGCGCCGGGGACGGCAGCGCCGCAGGCGGCC